AUUUAAUGUUACAGAUAUUAGACAUAUCAAAAUAAGUGUUUUUGAGAAAUUUUCAGGUGCGUGGUUAAUGCAGCUUACACCUUAGAAUGUGUUUAACUCUUUUAUAGCUUAUAAGCCAAAUUCUGUCUGCUACAUUAGUGUGAACUGUAUGCAACUCCAAUUCCUCACUAUAAAUGCGUAUGAGCAUACAAUAGAAAUAAGAGCACCCUGAAAUAAAAGCUGAAAUAAAUGCUCUUGUUCAUUAGCUUGUUACGAGAUUCACAGAUGUUAUCCCAUAGAAAAUGCAAUGUUGUGGAGUGUUGGGUAGGCAGGAAAAAUCCUUUGUUUUAGUCCUGAGCUCUAUAAACAUGUACAUCAUGCAAGUGUGUGUGUAUAUUAACACACACACUUGUCUUUUAUGUUCUUUGUUUUCUUUUGCCUGGUGUAUCAGGUUUAAAUGUUUUACUUGUGCUUUCAAGGCCCUAAAGUACUCUGACUCAGACUGCAUGUCUGUCAUUAAUGUCUUGUAAUUUCUCCUCGUUUCUCAGUAGUGUUCCUAUUUUGCCCUCUCUCUUAUCCCUCUUCUGUUUUCUAGUAGUCUGCCUUUAUCUAUGGAAUUCCCUUCUUUUCUAUUACCUAGAAGAAAGAAAUUACAUCGCUUCUAGCACCCAGCAAGCUGUUACAGAUCCAUUAAGAGAAGAUUCCUGUUCCUGUUCAGCCAACUGGGUCUUCUGCCUAGACCUCCAACAUUUGGGAAUUGCAUGCUUCCAUGCCCUUAGACACAAAACCUACCAUCACUGAAGGAACUUCUCUUGCACAUUAUUGCAUGUGUCUGUUGACUUUGUGAGCACAUACUGAUGAUACACCUGGCUCAGCCUGGAGAGGAUGAGACUGAGAGGUGAUCUCAUCAAUGUAUGAACAGCAGUACAGGCUGUCCACAGCAUUCCUCUGACCUUUAUUUCGGAAGAAGAAACAGAAAGAAGUCCUCUACUUCUGGAACACUGCUAAGUGGAACAGUUAAUCUGGAAGUUUUGCAACAUGAAUCCCAAGAAUCAGUGAUUGUGAAUGACCUAAGCCAAACUCUGACGUAGAGGAAGCAACAAUGCAAGGGAAAAAGAGGUCCUGAAAAACCUGACAGACAUCACUGAAAUCUGUCUGAGUUCAAGACAAUGUCCUCAUCAGACUGAUUCAUCCUUUAAAUUUGUCCUCAAAACCCUUAUUGAACAUUUUUGGUUGUGUCUUGAGUAGUAUAUCCUUCUUCUUAAUCCUGAGGAUGGAACCAUUGGAAUGGCCUAAAUAGAUGUGUUCCUCGAAAUCUUUUAACAUAAUAGUUCUUCUUCUGACUUCGAUAAAAUCACAUAUACUACUGUACUCAUUGCAGCAUACAGUUGUGAGCUGUGAAGUCAAAGUAUAUUCAUGCACAACCCCUUAAAUGUGAAAAAGAAAAUAACAGCCACAAUUCUAAAAAUGUUUCAGAGAUACUGA